rnacentral:rRNA from 1 species
GAUGAACGCUGGCGGCGUGCCUAAUACAUGCAAGUCGAGCGAACAGACGAGGGGCUUGCUCCUGUGACGUUAGCGGCGGACGGGUGAGUAACACGGGGGUAACCUACCUAUAAGACGGGGAUAACUUCGGGAAACCGGAGCUAAUACCGGAGAACAUCUGGAACCGCAUGGUUCUAAGUGAAAGUUGGGUUUGCUAGUAGGUAUAGAUGGACUCGUGCCGUAUUAGCUAGUUGGUAAGGUAAAGGCGUACCAAGGCAACGAUCCGUAGCCGACCUGAGAGGGUGACCGGCCACACUGGAACUGAGACACGGUCCAGACUCCUACGGGAGGCAGCAGUGGGGAAUUUUGCGCAAUGGGCGAAAGCCUGACGGAGCAACGCCGCGUGUGUGAUGAAGGCCUUCGGGUCGUAAAGCACUGUUAUUCGGGAAGAACAACUGUGUAAGUAUCUAUGCACGUCUUGACGGUACCUAAUCAGAAAGCCCCGGCUAACUACGUG